rnacentral:rRNA from 1 species
AGGAUGAACGCUGGCGGCGUGCCUAAUACAUGCAAGUCGAGCGGUAAGGCUCCUUCGGGAGUACACGAGCGGCGGACGGCUGAGUAACACGUAGGAACGUACCCCGAACUGAGGGAUAAGCACCGGAAACGGUGUCUAAUACCGCAUGUGGUCUUCGGACUAAAGCUUCGGCGGUUUGGGAACGGCCUGCGCAUGAUUAGCUUGUUGGUGAGGUAAUGGCUCACCAAGGCGAUGAUCAUUAGCUGGUCUGAGAGGAUGAUCAGCCAGACUGGGACUGAGAACGGCCCAGACUCCUACGGGAGGCAGCAGUAGGGAAUUUCCACAAUGGCGAAAGCCUGAUGGAGCAACGCCGCGUGCAGGAUGAAUGCCUUCGGUGUAAACUGCUUUAUAUGUGAAGAUUUGACGGUAGCAAUAUAGAAUAAGGAUCGGACUAACGUCCGUGCCAGCAGCC